CUGCAGACCUACCAGCGAGACUGAGCUUUCUCUGGUUCUGUUCUCUCCUUGAGUGUCUGCUAGAGAGAUGUGAGUCUGUUUGAGGCCCUGCUGUUGACUCUAAUAGCAGGGUUAUAGGGAAACCUCCUACACUC